GCUACGGUGCCAUAUACUCUGUGUGUGCCUCCCAGGACGUGUGGUGUCCAGGUGACAUCUAGAUUGCUUAUCCAGGGCUUCUUGUUUAUUGCAGAGGAGGCAGCUCGGUACAGAAGGGCCCUUGAGAGGUGUCUCCAUCGUGUCAGGAAGCAGCUGGACCACAGUGCUCCCGAGAGGUGUCCUCCCGUUCCUCUCCUGUCUGGGCCGAGCUGAAGGAAUUUUUUUGCAGGAUUAGAAGCAAUUACUGGGUCCUGUGCUCGGUCAGACUGACUCCUCCAGACCUCUGCCGUUGCCUCCUUUUUCAGCAAGCCCUCUGUCCUUUUCUGCCCCUGCAUUUGGAAGUGAUCAUGGCCGCCCAGGUCCUGCUCAUUGGUAGUGCAGGCAGAGGAAACAUAGAAAGGGUUGUCCCGUGUUUGGAGGGUCCACAUCUUUACCUUCCAGUUCCGGGAGCUUUUCCACAUUCCUCCUUCUCCUCUACACACACCUUGGGCCUCCAGGGCCUUGGGGGCUGUCGUAUGUGCAUUGGUGUCGUUGUUGGGGCUUUCACUUCCUGCCCCUGCUGUUGGGAACCAGGUUAUGUGUGUUGCUUAAGUUCCCUCUUCAUGCCCAACUCAGUUGCUGUGAGUCAGCCGUGGCACACUCCCACACACCUGGCCUUGGCAUCCUUUUCAGCCUGUCACUGAUUAAUUACAUGUUAAUCAGUGUUGGCCACCCUACCAUGGGCCACCCACUGUCUCCCUCUUUAGAGUUAACUACCAUCCUUUUUAUGAGGAAAUAGUGGGUCUGUUCUGGAAAUAAUAACAGCUGACGUCUGUGGAAUGCUUACUAACUGGUAACUACCGUGCUAAGCCCUUUCCUGAUGCCGACUGUGGCCUGCUGUGAGCAGGGAGAAGUCAGGUGCUCAUUCGUGGCUUCUUUCUAUUUCAGAUGAAUCCAUUGUGUGCGGAGGCGAUCACGGGAGUUGUCAUGUCAGGAACAUUCUAGACCUCAGUGUUCUUGACGGGCACUGCUGUGGGUCUGGACAUUGUUGGAGGAAGCCUCAAGGCGGUGGAGGCACUCGCCCUCUCAGGAUGCUGACCUGGGUCGAGCUCUCCUGGGGAGGCCUCCUUGCGGUGAGUUAAUGCCGAGGGGCUAAGUGGGCCUGCGUUUCUGAGAUGGAAAUGCCAAGCUGCUGGCCUUGUUGACUUUCUCUGGUAGGUUAUUUUGGGGUUGAUCGUGGACACUGCAGCAGAGUGAAGAGUGAUGCUGCCACGUGAUGCCUUGCCAGACCUUCUUACCCUGUUGCCUCAGCACGACAGAGGAGGACUUUUCCCUCAGCGUGAGUGGGGUCUCAGGGAUUAUGUCCAGAGCUGGCUCUGCCCUUCCCCAGCAGUGUCACAGAGUGUCGUGGACCAAGAAGACUGGUUUCCUUUCAUCUGGGCCAGGUCAUCCAGUGGCCUCUGUGUCCCCCUGCGUACUCUGGUGUAAAUUUUUAGAACCGAGAGUUUUC